UCCCACUGACCUUUAUAUGUUUGCAUAUUUCAGCUCACAGUAGAAUAAAUACAGGUAAGUAUUUGGUGUCUACGUCUUUGUCUCAAGUUUCUUCAAAACUCAGACAAAGAGGGGCAAGCUGUAGACACUAAAAUUUUAUUUAUUUGAUUUUUGGCUUUAUUUCUUAUUUAAUUCAAUUUUUUGCUUCAUUUGUUAGCUUUAUUAUUCUCAUUUUAUUUUAUUUUAUUGAUUAAAUCAUAGAUAGGGUUUUUAACUAUUUUUAUAAAUUAGGUUCAUUAGUUUCAUUUUUAUUUCUAAGAUAUUUUGCAUUAAAUUUCCAAAAAAGGAACAUUUU
rnacentral:lncRNA from 1 species